UAAAGAACUCCGGGCAGACGCUAAAGCUUCUAACUUUCAUCUUGAGAGGUUCGACUCCUUUCUUCUUUAA
rnacentral:tRNA from 1 species